AAAACAUGAUGAUGCUUGAGAAUGGAUUCACUUUCUGGGCUGAUGUCUUUGAGAUGCCACAAUUCUCUUGGCUGUCUGAUUUG